rnacentral:rRNA from 1 species
UGGGGAAUUUUGCGCAAUGGGCGAGAGCCUGACGCAGCAACGCCGCGUGGGUGAUGAAGGUCUUCGGAUCGUAAAACCCUGUCGUCAGGGACGAAGGUUGCGAGUUUAAGAGAUGCGCAACUUGACGGUACCUGGAGAGGAAGCCCCGGCUAACUCUGUGCCAGCAGCCGCGGUAAUACAGAGGGGGCAAGCGUUAUUCGGAAUUAUUGGGCGUAAAGGGCGCGUAGGCGGUUCCUUAAGUGAGAUGUGUAAUCCCGGGGCUUAACCUGGGAACUGCAACUCAUACUGGGGAGCUGGAGUACUGGAGAGGGUGGUAGAAUUCCACGUGUAGCGGUGAAAUGCGUAGAGAUGUGGAGGAAUACCAGUGGCGAAGGCGGCCACCUGGACAGUAACUGACGCUGAGGCGCGAAAGUGUGGGGAGCAAACA